GGCACGGGGAGCGGGAGCGGCGGGACCGGGAGCAUCCUUCGCUCCCUCCAUCCCUCCCUCCCCGCACGCGCAGGGAUGCUCCCGCCAGGCUGGCACAGACGCGCGCACAACUUUUUGCUGGCUAACGCGGCUGGAGCUGAAGCUCCUUUCGCCUUCCCCAGGCUGAUGCUGCUCCCGUGUCGUGAGCAACAAACUGCAGCGGGUUGUUUUAUUGAUCCCAGACAGGAAUGACUUGCUCUCUAAACUACAACUUAAAGGAUGCUGCUUGCAUAACAAGUUCGAGCAGGAGGUUUUGGGGGCUCCAGGCCCCGCCCCCGGGGACCCACUGGCCCCGCCCCCCAUCCUGCGACCAAUCAUCGCCACCAACACCUACCAGCAGGUCAGCAGCGACAUCCUUGGAGGAACCUCAGGAUUGCUCCCUGCAGUGAUCCCUGCUCCGCCCUUGGAAUACAGAGCAAAAACCCAGGGAAUGCUCCGUGCCUGCAGCUCUCCCGCUCUGGGCUGUGCCUCCUCCACACAGCUUCUCCUGGGAAGUUCUCUGCAGCCCAGCACAGGAGGAUCCAGCUCUGCUCGCGGCCCUCUGCUCCUGGAGUCGUCGAGGAGCAGCUGCAACAAUUCCCCGAGUCCCA